rnacentral:rRNA from 1 species
GACGAACGCUGGCGGCGUGCCUAAUACAUGCAAGUUGAGCGAUGAAGAUUGGUGCUUGCACCAAUUUGAAGAGCAGCGAACGGGUGAGUAACGCGUGGGGAAUCUGCCUUUGAGCGGGGGACAACAUUUGGAAACGAAUGCUAAUACCGCAUAACAACUUUAAACAUAAGUUUUAAGUUUGAAAGAUGCAAUUGCAUCACUCAAAGAUGAUCCCGCGUUGUAUUAGCUAGUUGGUGAGGUAAAGGCUCACCAAGGCGAUGAUACAUAGCCGACCUGAGAGGGUGAUCGGCCACAUUGGGACUGAGACACGGCCCAAACUCCGACGGGAGGCAGCAGUAGGGAAUCUUCGGCAAUGGACGAAAGUCUGACCGAGCAACGCCGCGUGAGUGAAGAAGGUUUUCGGAUCGUAAAACUCUGUUGGUAGAGAAGAACGUUGGUGAGAGUGGAAAGCUCAUCAAGUGACGGUAACUACCCAGAAAGGGACGGCUAACUACGUG